GUCCCUGACGUAGUCUUCAAAACUCGUGUGCGCGAUGAGACAGUCGAAGGAUCGAAUCCCUUCCGCUGG
rnacentral:tRNA from 1 species